GAUGAACGCUGACAGAAUGCUUAACACAUGCAAGUCUACUUGAUUCUACUUCGGUAGUUGAUGGUGGCGGACGGGUGAGUAACGCGUAAAGAAUCUGCCCUUUAGUUUGGGAUAACCUUUGGAAACGAAGGCUAAUACCGAAUAUUAUGGAGAUGUCGCAUGACGACUUCAUGAAAGCUAUAUGCGCUAGAGGAGGACUUUGCGUCCCAUUAGUUAGUGGGUGAGGUAAUGGCUCACCAAGACCGCGAUGGGUAGCCGGCCUGAGAGGGUGAUCGGCCACAAGGGAACUGAGACACGGUCCUUACUCCUACGGGAGGCAGCAGUGGGGAAUAUUGGACAAUGGACCACAAGUCUGAUCCAGCAAUUCUGUGUGCACGAUGAAGGUCUUCGGAUUGUAAAGUGCUUUCAGUAGGGAAGAAAAAAUGACGGUACCUACAGAAGAAGCGACGGCUAAAUAUGUGCCAGCAGCCGCCGUAA
rnacentral:rRNA from 1 species